AUGGCCUGGAUUCAUCUCCUCCUCUUUCUUCUCUCCCACUGGGCAGGUACUCUGUCACAGACUGUGCUGACUCAGCCCCCCUCCCUCUCUGCAUCGCUUGCAACCACUGCCAGGCUCACCUGUACUCUGUUCAGUGGCUUCAGUAUUGGGGACUACCACAUAUUUUGGUACCAGCAGAAGCCAGGGAGCCCUCCCCAGUAUCUUCUGAGGUUUAAAUCCGACUCAGACAAACACCAAGCAUCCGGGGUCUCCAGCCGCUUCUCUGGAUCCAAAGAUGCCUCAGCCAAUGCAGGGCUUCUGCUCAUCUCUGAGCUGCAGCCUGAGGAUGAGGUGGACUAUUACUGUCAUACUUCACACAGUGGGGCUUAUCACAGUGGCACUCACAGAAGAGGAAAGUUUUGA